AAUUUCCCUGAAUCUAGGAUAAUAUAGGAACUUUGGUGCUUCACAUUAUUGCUACUCAUUAAGGGGGACGAGUUUAGUUUUCUCUAACAAUGGGGCUCCUUUAGGGGAAGUAUAAAGAGAAACAGUACAAAACCCUCCCUCCUGAUGGCCUCCAGAUCCUCCAAGGUUCGACCUUGCCAUGUGCACAGCCUCCAUCCCUGCACUGGAAGGGCUGGGGCCACACUGAGUCCCUGGGACGCCCAGUGCACUCUGGGACCUGCCACUCUGCACUCACUGCUCCUGUAACUCAGCGUGUCUCCAUCUGGGCACCAUUAACCUUGGGGGUGGGUGACUAUUCUCCUGCAGGGGCUGUCCUGGGCAUUGUUGCCGCGUCCCUGACUGGCCUCGACUCACUAGAGUAGCACCCCCAAGUCAGGACAAUCAAAAAUGUCUGUAGACAAUGCCAAAUGUCCUGUGGUCAAACCGCCCCUGCCUCCAGCCCUGCUUGGAUGGGAGCGGGCUUCUCGAGGUGCUCUGCCUAGUGAUCUGACUCUUAUGCUGCAGUGCAAACAUCGCCUCCCCUGUCAGGUUUACUGUGACUGCCCCAGGCAGCUUCGAUGUCCUCACCCUGCCAGCUGUGGAGUUUGAUUGGUCUGCACCCAUUCCGUGCUUAUUUAUGAGAAUGUAAUUGUAUGUCCACCCUGGUUAGACUACGAACCUAGAGGUCAAGGAGGAUUCCUGCUACUCUACACGCUUCCAUCCUCAGCACUUAGCACACUGUCUGUUCCACUGAAGGAGUUGCUUAAAUGCAGAAGGAAUGGGCGAAUGGGAGGUCGGCCAUUGGAGGCUGGGACUCCCCCCAUGAGGACUCCUCAGAGAAGCUUCACGAUUGUCCCUUCCUCUCAGAUCACCCAAAAGCACAGCCACCGGCAUAAUCUUGGCAUCGCUACACCACGUGAUACUUGUUUGAAACCUAAUUUUGCCAAAGAAAUAACCCAGAUUUGUAUUAGUGGUUGUACACAUGGUAGCAGUGGUAAAGUAAUGGCAGCUGCUGGGGCUAUAUGAGCACCAGGUGUUUUCACUCUAACUGCUCACCCUCACUACCUUUCUGUGAUCUACACCUUAUUAUUCUCAUUUUACAGAUGGGAAAACUGAGGCUCUGAGAGACUCAUUCACAAGCUCAGCAUCUUAGUGGCCGUGGGAUCAGAAUCUAAGGCAAUUUUCUCCAAACACCAGUUGCUGCCCUGUCUUUGGUUUCUAAAUUGUUAUUCUUAAGGGUGAUUCUCAACAAGCAGGCAUUUAAAAUCUGAAUGUCCAAAGCGUGCCAGAUGAAUGAGUUACUGAUGCCUUGCUGCAAUUUGUGUCACUUCUUAUCAUUGCAACGAACAUCAAAUUCUGUCAAAAUAUGGGAAAAAAUCAUUUUGAUGUUGCAUUUGCAUAUCCAAGGAUUGCAGGAUGGUUUGUGUAAUCAAAUUAUGUAGAGUUGUAAAAAGGGAGCAUCAUUUAAAUAGCUUACAAAAUUACUUUGAAGAUGCACAUUAAAAUCUAAAGAACCCAUCGCCUCUAAGAUCUUUACAAAAAGUUAAAUGCUAAUUGAUUAUGACAGCUUUGUCUUUAUCACUGGCACCAUUCUCCAUUUCUACUCUGUCAAUAUCACAGCUCAAAUAUCACUCUGUCCUCUGUUCCUCGUCUAACCACAUUCAUUCCACGCUGUAAUAACAGAUGGAAGUUUAUGCAUGACUAGCUUUUCCCCCUUCUCGCCAUUGUUGAUCAAAAGGAGCAGCCCGAAAAAAAACAGAAUUUGCUGAAAUUCUGAUUUCUUUCAGCAGUUUUAUAGAUUUUAUAACUUAUCUUUUAUUGACUAUGCAAGGUCUCUGCUCCCCAGCAUCUGUUGGUUGCAUCUGGGGAGAAAGAUAAAUUCCCUUUUCUUUAAUGCUACUGAACCAAAUUUAAGAGAUAGACAAACAAACAGGUCUCAGUAGAAGAGGACAGCAUCACAUCCUUCUUCUGCAGCCCAGCUGUCCUCUUUCCCAAUCCCUGUGUGGGCAGGACAGGAGGAGGAGGAAGUGCCUUGUAGACCAUGGAAUCUGCCAGCCCAUCAGGGAUGAAGGUGCCACAGACUGGCUGAUGGGGCUUAGGGAGGUGCUCCCCCCAGAGAGGGGACCUGGGGUCAUAGCUAUGAGCACAAACUUUGAAGAGGCUGCUUUGUAAACGUUACAAAAAAUUCACAUCAUUUACAAUUUCUCAGACUUAAAGAAUUGUGCCUGGUCACCCAGAGACAUGAUUAUACAUCACAGAACUUCAUUAUAAUAAUGGCCCCGGUACUCCAACUUCUUGAAAGCCUCAGCUGUUCGAUUCAGCCUCUUCAGCUCCAUAACUGUUUAUAAGAUUAAUAGACUCUGAUGCAUAAUUGACUAUCGCACCAGGAGGGAAAAAAAAGGAGAGAGAGUCUAAUCGUAGCCCUGGUAAAAGCAACAUUCCCAUAAAGAGAUGGUGUUUGUCCACAUGGACAGGGUCGAGGAUGAGGAGAAUGGCUAGCACCACCAAGUCAGGAGAGAAGGGGAGAUGGAUGAGGAGUCAGCCCGGGGGAAGGGAGUCUUGGAAAGUCUGAUGGACAUGUCCCAUCACUUAGAGGCUUCAGUGGACACCCUAAAAACUCUGCUCAUUGAAGAACUGGGUGGGAUUCAGAGCUACAGCAGGGAGCAGGGGAGCUAGGAAGAGGAAAGAAAGAGGACAGGAAGGUCCCACCAUGCAGGAAGUGGAAGGAAAUAGAAAGGGAAUCCACAGAGCAGCGGGAUAGGGUGAGAGCUUGACAUCUGGUGGCAGGGAGCUUAGAGAGAGGAUGAGUGCCCUGGUCCCCCUUUCCCUUGCUGAGGUUAUGGUUACCAGGUGUCACACCAGGUCCCGUAGACGACCAGACACACUCUAGGAAUUACAGCAGGGCAGGCCUUUCUCAAGGCAGAGGAGCAAGGGCAUCACUGCAGGCUGGAGGGAAUGGAGGCCUUGGGUGAGUGAGUGGUGGGGAAGCCACCGCCACACAGGGGACGGGCAGUGGCCGGGGCUCAGAGGCUGGGCAAGCUCCAGAAGGCUUGGAGAGGGGCCCAGCUGGACCAAGGCAGGCCCCAGAUGGCCAGGGCAAGAGCACCCCUGAGCUUCUAGGCUUCCAUCAGGGGGUCCCUGCAUGCUCAGCCUGUCAUUUGUAUAAAACUUGAAUAAAGGAGUGAGUCUAACCAAAAGGUGGAAACGGCAAGCCCAGUGUUCUUUGCUAGCCUGCCUUUCCCCUGCUCUCCUUUACCUGCCCCUCUUCUCAGGACUUACUUCAUUCUUCUGGAAGAAGUCUUGCAGUCUUCCUGGAAAACAAACACAACAGAAAAGCAAGCAAGAUGAGAGAAGACUGACAUGGAGACAGCCUUAUUUUCAACUCUGUAGUGAGAGACGCAUGCUCGAGAGACCUCACCCUGUUGUUAGAGGGAAACGCAAUUGAAGGUUAAAAAAAAAUCCCUUAGGGCCUGUUGGGUGCUAAUUUGACCUGGCAAUGAGAUAAAGUUAGGCCUUGGCUGUCUUCAAGCAGCUGGGAUAGGAAUGCCAUCUACUCAGCAUAGGAGUCAAAGAAUUCCCUGGCAAUUGAUUGCUUUCCACUUGCAGAGCUACUGAAUAAAUAGAAAAGUAAUUAGCAGUGUGCUAGGGCUAGAUGUAUCAGGUGGAAUUUCUUUACAGCAGAAAGAACUAAGGGAAUCAAGAAGUCAUUUUGUGUCCACUGUCGGAUGAGUCAUUCGUGUUUCUUUCUCUAGGAUGGACACGUUAUCUCUGCUUUUCUUCAAGAAGAAAAACUUCGGAAUUUCCUAUCGUAUCUUCACUUUAAUCAAGGGGAAAAGAAGAAAAGUCUUAAGUGCCUAAAAGUGGUCCAAAAAUAAAGAAUUCUUUUCGCUUUUCCAUUUAAUGAUUUUGCUCCUGAAACCUAUGGAUGAUUUUCUUUUGUUGUAUUUUUUGUUUUUUCCUCAACUAUUAAAUAUAUGAAUUUUGAAAUGUGAA